rnacentral:rRNA from 1 species
GGCGGAGGGUGCUAGCGUUGUUCGGAAUCACUGGGCGUAAAGGGCGCGUAGGCGGCCUCAGGUGUCGGAUGUGAAAGCCCGGGGCUCAACCCCGGAGGUGCAUCCGAAACUCUGGGGCUGGAGGUCGGAAGAGGAGGGUGGAAUACCCAGUGUAGAGGUGAAAUUCGUAGAUAUUGGGUGGAACACCGGUGGCGAAAGCGGCUCUCUGGUCCGGACCUGACGCUGAGGCGCGAAAGCGUGGGGAGCAAACAGG